ensembl:lncRNA
AAGGAAUGAUGGAAAGAAGAAAAGCAGCAAAGAAGGAAAUAAAAUUUUAUUUUGGACUGAAGAAAAGGAGAAAUAUUUAAGGUGAUGCAUGAGGAAAGGUCAGAAUAGAAAUAGGAGAAUGGAGUAUGGGAUUGGAGCCAGACAUUACUAGAUAGACCAGCAUCAUGAACCCAUAUUCAAAGUGGAUGAGGAGAGGAACUUUCAGGUAAGGAUGAACAGCUAUUCCUGUGGGGAACUUUGUGAGAUGUGACAACACUUUGUGAAAGAUGCUACAUGUCUUGGUUUAUCUUUAAUUCCAGGAUGGCAAAGAAACAUGGCACGCCUUCAGCACUAUGAAUAUCCACAGAAACCUAGCCCUGUAUUCCUACUUGGAAGGUUCGUGACUUUGGGGAGAAUUGAAAACAUGCUCUUGACUUGGGCAUCAUCUGAGUCAUGCAACUCGUACAAUAAGAAAUCUUCCCAAAUCUCCAUCUUCUCAGAGAAGCGCUGGGGGAAAAUAGCUGACGUCAUGUGUAUGCACACACUCCAGGAAAGGCGAAGGGUUCUUCUGACGCUGAGACAAUGGGAGGCUGACAUUCCUGCUUUCAUGUUUCUCCAUGAGGUGGAAUUCAGGUACUUAGAGGCUGUCAUUGGGAACAUAGCCCUCGUCCUGGAGUCUCAGUCUGACAGAGCCCUAGGCAGCAGGGGGUGGAGGAAGGAGAGAGAGAAGGAGGAGAGAUUGAAGUCAGCUUUACUGACCCUAACUAAACAUUUCAUUUCCUUGACUCUUUCAACCAGAGGAAUUGAAGACUUGCUGGUGGAUCUCAUUAUGAUGCCUGGAUCUACCCUGGAACAGCAGACAAAACUUUCUGAUGCCAAUUAUUUCUCCAUACUUCUCAGUAUCACCCACUCUGAAAUCAAUAUCACUGUGCUCCAUUUAUUCAUAAGUAGGCUUCCUACAGGUCACCUCCAAGUACUUUGAUUACAUUCACAUUUCUUUAAAAAAUUUUAUAUCAUAGAAAUCUUUGUAGCAAUAUCCAAAAUUCAUUUUUCACACCUUCAAUCACAGAGACAUUCAUACAUAUUGAACACAGAAUAAAAAUUUACAAGACAGAAUAACCUUAAUUUCG